UCAUCGGUGAUUCAGUGACACAAUGCUCGCCUGCCAAGCGGGCGACCCGAGUUCGAUUCCCGGCCAAUGCA